rnacentral:lncRNA from 1 species
GGUCUGCGUCCGUGCACGGCUGAGCGCGGCAGGAAGCCUGUAGGUCAGGAGCAGGAGGUGGUGGGCGGAGCUGAACAGCAGCACAAGCUUCAGGACAGAAGACAGGAAGGACAGCAGGUGGACAGACAGACGGACAAAAGCUGCUCAUGGUCAGAAGCAUGCGGGAGUGAAGCAGGUGUGUGUGUGUGUGUGUGUGUGUGUGUGUGUGUGUGUGUGUGUGUGUGUGUGUGUGCAGGAAUACCUGCGUCAGCUGGAGCUCAUCAGGCAGGAGUACCACCGAGACGUGAGGCUGAUGAGGCAGAGACCUGCAGCACAGCUCCAACGUGGAACCUUUGUGGUGGAGAAACCUGGACACCCAGAGGCGUCUGUAGUGCCGGUAAGAUCCAGAUCUGCUGAGAUCCGGUCAAAGUCUGCUUCCUCAGUCCGGUCAGGACCUAUCAGGACCUCAGGCCACAUCCGAGUGGAGGGUCUACGCCUGGGAAACUCAAAGAACGCAGAACAUUCAUGAAAUCUACAAUACCAGCCCCCCCACACACAGUGCCAACCCCCGCAGCUGCACUCAUGCACCCAACUUCAUUCAUUUCGUCUGACUCUGCAGGAUGUUGAAGCAGCUCUGCAGCAGAUCAGGGAGGACAGCAGCGACCAGAGAAGACCGCAGCUCAAGGUGAGGAAGAGGAGACGAAGCUGCUGCUUCCAGCUCCAUGAGUCUGUGAACCCCAGCUGCUCUCAUUCAACAUCGCUAGAGCACAGAAAACGAUGAGAAAGCUUCUCGUGUGACGUUUCCCCAGAGAGGAAUCACGUUUGAAGUUUGCUUAAACGAUGAAGAGGAGGUCAAAGAGGAGAGCGGACCCACAGAGGAGGUGACGCUCGGAGGAGGACGGAAUCUGCUCCUCCUUUUCCCUUCACUCACUCUUUGAAUCAAACUCCAGGACGGGAAGAGGAUGAACCUGGAGGAGUGGUUUCGGGUGAGAAGAGGGUGGAGCAUGAGGUGUCCUCAGACGGCGCUGGACGCCCUCGCGGACAUGGACGUCAACUCGGCGUCCCACACGGCCGCUGGAGCUGCAGAAGCUCUCACAGAGGAGGGGGCCACAGGUCGCAGGCGGUGGGUGGACACCCCCCCAAAAUCCCUGCUGGAUGCUCUGGGUCAGGCUGAACUGACAUCAUCCACUCUGGACUCACCGGCUGCAGACCUGGAGUCAGAGGACGUCACCAGGGAGGAGAAAGAGGGAAAACAGCCGGAUGGGGAAGAGGAGGAAGACUCUGAUGUGGAGUUGGAUGCAGAGCGUCUGGAGCCGCGGUCCGAUGACGAUGACACGAACUUUGAGGAAUCCGAGGACGAGCUGAAGGAGGAGGUGGCAGACUCCAUGAGGAACCUGUUGGUCAUGGAGGACUCCGGCUCCGAGGAGCACGGAGAAGCCGAGAGCUGCAACGGAUCCUCAGCAGGUCCACCCGUGUGACGGAGGAACCGAAGGGCGGCGGCAUCGGUCCGGCUGAACAUGAACAGCCUCAGCCCUGCCGACCAUGAACCAACACUAAUGUCCCUUCUAACAAAAACCCAACAGUUUCUGAAAGCUUCAGGUCUGUUGGUCUGAGGUUAGAAAAAAAGCAAAGGAACCAGAGAAUUAUGAGCAGAACAGCAAGAGAAACCCCUGGAAGGAACGAGUGUUUAUGGACAAGAAGUUUGCUUCUCUAAACUGCCUCCUGUGUUCGGCUAAAGGAAAACACUCUCAUGUGUUUCUAUGCAGACAAAAUGUCUUGGUUUAGUUUUCCCUGAUGUGAGCAGAUCAUGUAGAAUUUCAGGUCAGACUUUUCAGCGUUGAGUAUUUCCACCGUCUAACAUCCUAAACGAUGAAAACUCCAAUCUUUGGAUUGAGAUGCUCACAGGAGUUUAUCCUCUG